UACGUAGGGGGCAAGCAUUGUCCGGAUUUAUUGGGCGUAAAGAGCGUGUAGGCGGCUUUACAGGUCCGUUGUGAAAACUCGAGGCUCAACCUCGAGACGCCGGUGGAAACCGUAAAGCUAGAGUCCGGAAGAGGAGAGUGGAAUUCCUGGUGUAGCGGUGAAAUGCGCAGAUAUCAGGAAGAACACCCGUGGCGAAGGCGGCUCUCUGGGACGGUACUGACGCUGAGACGCGAAAGCGUGGGGAGCGAACAGG
rnacentral:rRNA from 1 species